AACGAACGCUGGCGGCAUGCCUAACACAUGCAAGUCGAACGAGACCUUCGGGUCUAGUAGCGCACGGGUGCGUAACGCGUGGGAACCUGCCCUUAGGUUCGGAAUAACUCCCCGAAAGGGGUGCUAAUACCGGAUAAUGUCUUCGGACCAAAGAUUUAUCGCCUUUGGAUGGGCCCGCGUUGGAUUAGCUAGUUGGUAGGGUAAAAGCCUACCAAGGCGACGAUCCAUAGCUGGUCUGAGAGGAAGAUCAGCCACACUGGGACUGAGACACGGCCCAGACUCCUACGGGAGGCAGAAGGGGGGAAUUUGGGAAAAGGGGCAAAACCCUGACCCACAAAUGCCCGGGGAGUGAGAAAGGCUUUGGGUUGUUAAAGCUUUUUUCCCCGGGAUGAAAAGGACAGUACCGGGAGAAUAAGCCCCGGCAAACCCCGU
rnacentral:rRNA from 1 species